GGAAGUCGUAACAAGGUUUCCGUAGGUGAACCUGCGGAAGGAUCAUUAAUGUGUUUGGGCCUCACGGCUCUUCAUUCCGACGCUGUGCGCCUUCGGGCUGCACGCUGAGGGAGCAUAUAUCCACCCCUGUGCACACACACGGUGGCGAGCUGGGUAACGGCUCGCCGCUGAUCUUUACACACGUCUAAAAGUCAUUGUAUGUUUAUUUGAGAUAAAGACACAACUUUCAGCAACGGAUCUCUUGGCUCUC
rnacentral:misc_RNA from 1 species